CCUACGGGAGGCAGCAGUGGGGAAUAUUGCACAAUGGGGGAAACCCUGAUGCAGCAACGCCGCGUGGAGGAUGAAGGUUUUCGGAUUGUAAACUCCUUUUGUUAGAGAAGAUGAUGACGGUAUCUAUCGAAUAAGCACUGGCUAACUCCGUGCCAGCAGCCGCGGUAAUACGGAGGGUGCAAGCGUUACUCGGAAUCACUGGGCGUAAAGAGCGCGUAGGCGGGAUAGCAAGUCAGAUGUGAAAUCCUAUGGCUUAACCAUAGAACUGCAUUUGAAACUGUUAUUCUAGAGUAUGGGAGAGGUAGGUGGAAGUCUUGGUGUAGGGGUGAAAUGCGUAGAGAUCAAGAGGAAUACUCGUUGCGAAGGCGGCCUGCUGGAACAUAACUGACGCUGAGGCGCGAAAGCGUGGGGAGCAAACAGGAUUAGAUACCCUAGUAGUC
rnacentral:rRNA from 1 species